rnacentral:rRNA from 1 species
UACAGAGGGUGCAAGCGUUAAUCGGAAUUACUGGGCGUAAAGCGUGCGUAGUCGGUUAUCUAAGUCGGGUGUGAAAUCCCCGGGCUCAACCUGGGAAUUGCAUUCGAUACUGGAUAGCUAGAGUUCGGCAGAGGGAGAUGGAAUUCCGCGUGUAGCAGUGAAAUGCGUAGAUAUGCGGAGGAACACCGAUGGCGAAGGCAAUCUCCUGGGCCUGCACUGACGCUCAUGCACGAAAGCGUGGGGAGCAAACAGG